GAAUGCUGAGUCAAACAUGAAGGGGGGACAAUAAAGCAAGCUGCUCAGAGAGGUGGCUGACCCUAGAUGGACACUGAGGAGUGGGGUGUCUUUUAAUCUUGGACUCAGACUGAAAAAAGGACUUGGGGAAGGGUUUCACGAGACUCCUAAGCCACCCUCCUAAUUCAAAUGUAUCUUCUGAAUAGCUUUCAUGUCUAGUGAGUUGCACUGGCUUUCUGUGGGAUAAGACAAGUGUUAGAGCCAGGGUAUGUGAGAAACAUGCAGAUAAAAUAUGGGAUGAGCUGGAUUUCAACCUUUUGAAGCAGAAAUGCUGUAGUUCAGAUUGAUUCAUAGGAGCCAGCAUAGCUGUAGUGUUGCAGUGUUUUGUACCUCCCAGUACGUGAGACUUUCUCUUAGUACGUGACCUCACUUUCCAGUCAAGGAAGAUGAGGAGAAGGCAGGAGCCCUGUGACCUCAUACAUGAGCUGUACAUAUCAGAAAACCUGAUAUGUAGCAGAUCUCCCUUUGCAUGCAAAGAAAUGCUUCAUGUCUGCAUCUCCUUUUCCCAGGAGAGCACUGUAACCACUGGAUUCUGGAGUUACCCUUCCUCCUGGCCUUUCCUGCUGAAGCCAUAUUGAUGUUCAGUGAAGAAUUUGGCAGUGCUGGAGUGGUGAGGAAGAGCAACCCUGGGUGGUUCUAACACUCCUCAAUCCUUCGUGACUUAAAUGAAGAAAAGUUCUUCUUUCCCCGUUCUCAGAGUGGUGUUGAGUGGAAGGAAUACAAAGGAAUAUAUAUUUAUAAAAAAUUUCCAUAACAAAUAAUUUACUAUCUGAAAUGUGGAUUGAAAAAAGGUGAAACCUCCCUCUUCAAAAAGCAGCUGUGCAGCUGAAUAAUUGGAUCUCAUGACUACAUAAUUGCAAAUGAAGAUCCCAUCGCAGCCAUGGAGACACUGCAGUGCUCAGGAGGCUCUGGAGACUAACGAUAUCACAGUUUGUGGAAGCAGAUUUUGGCACACAAAGUGUCAAAAAUCAAACUCAUCUUCAGUAGAUAUUUAAUUCCUCAGACUUCUGUGGAAAAUCCACAUCUCCACAUAUGUCUUGGACCAAAAAGAGAUUUGCAGAAGAAGCCAUUCAGUGAUAGCAGCAAGAAGGCAAAGGUGAAUUCCACCGAGAAGAAUCUCAGUAAGAAGGAUGAGAGAAGGCUCCAUCAAACAACAAGAGGAGCGAGAGAUGGAUUACAGAGGAGAGAUCAUUUCUUUUACCAGCAGGGACUAGAUGAUAUUUGUUGGUUACAUUUUUGUGAAUAUUUGAAAUUUUAUCAGGUGGGAAGGAAGGAGCUUUCUUUUUACUUAACAGGUUUGGCCUGAAUACCUAUUUAUAUUCACAGAUGUGGAAGUUGUGUGCACUGCUAGUGUAUGACUUUGACUGGGAUUUCUUUGAAGACUUUUAGACUUCUACUUGUUUCAUAUUUGUCCCUCAAAAUUACAGGAGUCAAAUACUCUGA